UGUCCACACUCAUGGCCAGCCCUGCACAGAUCCUCCUGCAGCCUUCCGCUUUCUUCCUCCCGAGCUGUACAGCUUGCCCGGCACACAAGGCCAGGUCCUACCGCCUCACCAUGCAAGGCUGCUGUGACUGCCAGCGAUCCUGCAAGACCAGAGAAGGGGACGGCGUUCAGGGAUGCUUUCUCCUGGAAGCAGCUCCUCCCUCAAGCCCCAGCUGGGACCCUUUAUUCCUACUUCUGAGUCCCUGGGGGAGGGGAGGGUGGGGUGCUGGGCUUGUGUGUAUACCACAGGGGGAGCCGGUGUGCAGGCAUCGGGCCCAGGCCUGGGGGCAGAAGAGGCUGCCUGGGUGCGGGGUGUGCGCUGCGCUCCUGGGCACCCAAGAAACGCGUGUGCGGCGGGGCGGGGCGAGUGGCCGAGGUGGGGGGCGGCGGGGGGGCCCCCGCGCCCCCUGCCUGCGUCAUGCGAAUGGGAUGAGAGGCGCCCCUGGUGACCCCGCGCCCUCUACUCCGCGUCCGAGCGCCUCAAGGGGAAACCUUAACAGUCUUUCAGGGUGGGCUUGUGUGUAUACCACAGGCUCUCGUGUGUGUGUGUGUGUGUGUGUGUGUGUGUGUGUUUUGGAUCCAUGUAGAAGUGCAUGCAUGUGUAUAUCAGUGUCACACGUGUGUGCACGUGUAGGCAGACACACUCAUAGAAAAGCCUGUGGGCAAAUGUAAUGGGUGGUUGUUUUUUUUAUUUUUGGUACUGGGGAUCGAACUUGGGACCUUGCGCUUGCGCAGCAGGCACCAGAACCACUGAGCUAAAUCCCCGGCCGUAACGGGUGUUUGUAAGUGUGCCGAGGGUGCACACGGUGCACACUUUGGUGCACAUGAUCACACAUGAGCCACACGGUGCUGAUGGGCCGUGGGGGACGUGCAGCAGCCGUGGCCUUGAGAGGACCCUGGACUUGGAGUCACAGGGCCAGCAGCCAGCCCAGGAACCCGGGUGCUGAGCCUUGUUUUACAACCUGGGGCCUCAGAUCCGAUCUGUUAAAUGGGCGUGAACUUUCGCGGCAGGAGAUCGUGGGUGGACAUCUCGCGCUCACCCUGGCCCCGGAAAAAUUCAGACUCUCUAGACCAGAAAGUAAAAAAAGAUGUAGCAAAUAGAAAUGUCUUACGGAGCAGCUCUCGGUGAGACGUCAGGACCGAGGGAGGUGCAUGGCAGAGGUGUUGGGAGGGAAGCCAGAGGCCAGCUCUUGGGGAGGAAGAGAGGAAAGGCCCAGGGCAGGACCUCCCGGGUGGAGCGGGCCAAGCCAGUCUGUGCCGUGAGGCACGCGCGCCCUUGUGGAUGCGGGCG
rnacentral:lncRNA from 1 species